rnacentral:tRNA from 1 species
GAGGGUAUAGCUCAGUGGCAGAGUGUAUGCUUAGCAUGCGUGAGGUCCUGGGUUCAAACCCAGUACCUCCA